rnacentral:rRNA from 1 species
UCCUUUUGUAAAAAAUUUAAGGUCUAGCCUGCCCACUGAAAACUUAAAUGGCCGCGGUAUUUUGACCGUGCUAAGGUAGCAUAAUCAUUAGUUUUUUAAUUGAAAGCUGGAAUGAAGGGUUGGAUGAGAAAAUAACUGUCUCUAAAUUAAUUAUAAUUGAAUUUUAUUUUUAAGUUAAAAAGCUUAAAUUUAUUUAAAAGACGAGAAGACCCUAUAGAGUUUUAUAAAAUAUAUAUAUAUAAAAAAAUUAAAGAAUUAAAAAUUUUUUAUAUUAAUUUUAUUUAAUUGGGGUGAUUUAAAAAUUUAAUAAACUUUUUUAUUUUUUUUACUAUAGAUUAAUAAAUAUUUGAUCCAGUUAUUUUGAUUAUAAGAAAAAAUUACCUUAGGGAUAACAGCGUUAUUUUAUUUGAGAGUUCAUAUUGAAAAUAAGGAUUGCGACCUCGAUGUUGGAUUAAAA